rnacentral:miRNA from 1 species
AUGGUCACGAUGACCGGAAGGAAUCCCUUCCGGUCAUCAAGACCAUUCAAUGACUGGAAGGACCCCUUCCGGUCAUCAACACUAUUGCAAUUUCGAUGACCGGAAGGAAUCCCUUCCGGUCAUCGAGACGAU